rnacentral:rRNA from 1 species
UACGUAGGGGGCAAGCGUUGUCCGGAUUUAUUGGGCGUAAAGAGCGUGUAGGCGGCCAUGCAGGUCCGUUGUGAAAACUCGAGGCUCAACCUCGAGACGCCGAUGGAAACCGCAUGGCUAGAGUCCGGAAGAGGAGAGUGGAAUUCCUGGUGUAGCGGUGAAAUGCGCAGAUAUCAGGAAGAACACCCGUGGCUAAGGCGGCUCUGUAGUACGGUACUGACGCUGAGACGCGAA